CCUACGGUGCGCAGCAGUGAGGAAUAUUGGUCAAUGGACGAGAGUCUGAACCAGCCAAGUAGCGUGAAGGAUGACUGCCCUAUGGGUUGUAAACUUCUUUUAUAUGGGAAUAAAACAGGGUAUGCAUACCCUCUUGUAUGUACAAUAUGAAUAAGGAUCGGAGAACUCCGUGCCAGCAGCCGCGGUAAUACGGAGGAUACGAGCGUUAUCCGGAUUUAUUUGGUUUAAAGAGAGCGUAGGUGGAUUGUUAAGUCAGUUGUGAAAGUUUGCGGCUCAACAGUAAAAUUGCAGUUGAAACUGGCAGUCUUGAGUACAGUAGAGGUGUGCGGAAUGCGUGGUGUAGCGGUGAAAUGCUUAGAUAUCACGAAGAACUCCGAUUGCGAAGGCAGCUCACUGGACUGCAACGGACACUGAUGCUCGAAAGUGUGGGUAUCAAACAGGAUUAGAUACCCCUGUAGUC
rnacentral:rRNA from 1 species